GAUUAACGCUAGCGGCAGGCAUAAUACAUGCAAGUUGAACGGCAGCACAGGUAGCAAUACUGGGUGGCGAGUGGCGCACGGGUGCGUAACACGUAUGCAACCUACCCUAUACAGGCGAAUAACCUUUAGAAAUGAGGGCUAAUACGCCGUAGUAUUACAGAUGGGCAUCUAUUUGUAAUUAAAGAUUUAUCGGUAUAGGAUGGGCAUGCGUCCCAUUAGUUAGUUGGUAAGGUAACGGCUUACCAAGACGAUGAUGGGUAGGGGAUCUGAGAGGACUUACCCCCACACUGGUACUGAGACACGGACCAGACUCCUACGGGAGGCAGCAGUAAGGAAUAGUGGGCAAUGGCCGCGAGGCUGACCCAGCCAUGCCGCGUGCAGGAAGACGGCCUUAUGGGUUGUAAACUGCUUUUAUACGGGAAUAAUAGAGUGUACGCGUACAUUUAUGCAAGUAUCGUAUGAAUAAGCAUCGGCUAACUCCGUG
rnacentral:rRNA from 1 species